rnacentral:rRNA from 1 species
GACGAACGCUGGCGGCGUGCUUAACACAUGCAAGUCGAACGGAAAGGCCCUGCUUUUGUGGGGUGCUCGAGUGGCGAACGGGUGAGUAACACGUGAGUAACCUGCCCUUGACUUUGGGAUAACUUCAGGAAACUGGGGCUAAUACCGGAUAGGAGCUCCUGCUGCAUGGUGGGGGUUGGAAAGUUUCGGCGGUUGGGGAUGAACUCGCGGCUUAUCAGCUUGUUGGUGGGGUAGUGGCUUACCAAGGCCUUGACGGGUAGCCGGCCUGAGAGGGUGACCGGCCACAUUGGGACUGAGAUACGGCCCAGACUCCUACGGGAGGCAGCAGUGGGGAAUAUUGCACGAUGGGCGGAAGCCUGAUGCAGCAACGCCGCGUGCGGGAUGACGGCCUUCGGGUUGUAAACCGCUUUCGCAUGUGACGAAGCGUGAGUGACGGUAAUGGGUAAAGAAGCACCGGCUAACUACGUG